GAUGUAGCCAAGUGGAUCAAGGCAGUGGAUUGUGA
rnacentral:tRNA from 1 species